CUGACCUCAAAUCGGGUGAGACUACCCGCUGAACUUAAGCAUAUC
rnacentral:rRNA from 1 species